CUUUGUCUUCUAUCCAGCGAAUGUUCUACACCUCUCUCUCUCUAGAACUGUCGGAAUCUUAGUGUUCAACCCUUAAUUGUAAGUGUAAUUUCAGUUUUGAUGAAGUGCUAGCUGAAAUCUGGAUUCUUACACCAAAUCCCUAGCUAAAUUAAUCAAGAUCGCAGAUCUAAACCUGAGUUCAACAACAAAUCCUCAGUUUUUGAAGGCAGUUUACCUACUUCAAAGCUAAAACGAUUAUGAUAAUCUGCUUGAAUGUCAUCUUCCUACGAUAAAGCUAAGUAAACUAUUACUUUUCUAUUUUCCUGGUUUUUUUUCUUAAAUUUAAUAUCUAUUUGCAGUUUGUUUCAUCGUAUGAUUCCUACAUUUGAUUAGAGUUUUCAUAAAACAGUUUCAUGCAGUUAGAAAAUUGAUUUCUUUAUCUUUUUUUGAAGACCUUAAAAAUUGAUUUCUAAGUAAUAUAUUUGUAAACAUAUAAUCUGAAAGCUAAUCUAUUCUUACAGAGGUAAAUAUAUUCACUACUUGGAGGUAUAUUUGCUGGAGUGGCCAUUCUAUACUCCGAUUAUAUGCAAAAUACCUUCAACUUCUUGUGGGAAUUGCUCAUAGCAUUAGACUUUCUUAGGAAUAAUACAAAAAAGUUUUGUCCCAUCUUUAAUGUGCAUGAUUGAAAUUUAUCCAAGUUGAAUCAUCAGGUUAAAUUUCAUCAACUUGUACUUUAUUUUGUCCCACAUCUAAUUGCAUAGUGUUUCACAUCUACUUUAUAUAUGUGAUACCUGUAUGUUUUGUCUGUAUCCUGCUUAUUUUCUAACAUCACAUUUCAAGUUCUCUACUAUGGAACUUCAAAUGUCUUUUUGUUUAAGUAAAAAGAUGUCAGAAGAGCAUGCAUAUUUCAUGAAUUUAUUCUUCAAUCAAGCCUUGAAUUUGCCACAAUUAACUCAACAUUAUGGAAUGUUGUUCUUAUUACAUUGUUUUACCUACAAAAUAGUGUAUUAAUAACAUAUUUAUAUUAGAAUUGGUAAUAAAAAUGACGUUUUAUUACCAUUUUGAUAUUACAAUGUAUUCAUCUUCACUGCCUUGUUGUAGAGUACAACCUGCAACAUUUUGAAGUGACAGGAAACAAUAGUCUAAUAAAAAAAUUAGAUAAAGAAAUAGAAAAAAAAAACAAAACAAAACAAAACAAAACAUGAAUAUAGGAUUAAUUGAAAAAAAAUAGAAGCUGAAUCAUUAGCAGAUAAUGUAGGUAGGUGAGAAUAGAAAUGUUUCCAGCAACAUAGAUAGUGUAAACCACAAUCAAAAUAAUUGAUAACACAAAACUAAGCUACCAAUUUAGUCUGUCCAUAUGCAUAAUCCAGAAAAAACAUCAAUACAAUUGUCUUAAAUUUCAAAUUCAGUGUGGUUACAAAAAAAAUUUCAAAUUCAAUGUUACAGUUUUUCUUGUUUCACUGCCACCAUCUUUGACUUUUUAAGGUUUUUAGAUGAUGAAAACUGAUCAAGCAGACAUCUUUUUACAGUGUCUGAAUUUUCAGACUCUGCACCUUAUCAUUCUGCUGAGAUGCAUUGUAUGGACUGUUAAAUAUAUCAGAGAAAUUAAUAAACAUCUUAGUACAGAAAUUAAUAAUUUAAUGUCUUGGCUUGUUAUUAAAGACAAAUAUGAACAUAGGUACAAUGAAAAAAUUAAGAAAAACGUAUGAAUACCAAAUCAGCUUCCCUUAGGCUUUAAAUCAAGAUUAGUUUUCCUUAUAAAACAGAGACAAAAGGAAUGGAAAUUUGCUUUUAGUAUGAUUAAAAAAAAACAAAAAACAAAAAACAAAAACAAAACUGAAAAAUGUAUUUUACCUCAUUGUGAAAUAAACAUUCUUUACUGAUUUCACAUAUUCUUAUUGCUCCCUUGGUGGGCAGUGGAUUGAUAUCCUU